rnacentral:rRNA from 1 species
ACUCCUACGGGAGGCAGCAGUGGGGAAUAUUGGACAAUGGGGGAAACCCGUGAUCCAGCAAUGCCGCGUGAGUGAUGAAGGCCUUAGGGUUGUAAAGCUCUUUUACCAGGGAUGAUAAUGACAGUACCUGGAGAAUAAGCUCCGGCUAACUCCGUGCCAGCAGCCGCGGUAAUACGGAGGGAGCUAGCGUUGUUCGGAAUUACUGGGCGUAAAGCGCACGUAGGCGGUUACUCAAGUCAGAGGUGAAAGCCCGGGGCUCAACCCCGGAACUGCCUUGAAACUAGGUAACUAGAAUCCUGGAGAGGUGAGUGGAAUUCCGAGUGUAGAGGUGAAAUUCGUAGAUAUUCGGAAGAACACCAGUGGCGAAGGCGGCUCACUGGACAGGUAUUGACGCUGAGGUGCGAAAGCGUGGGAGCAAACAGGAUUAGAUACCCGUGGUAGCGACU